rnacentral:lncRNA from 1 species
UUUCCAGGCAAAUCUGGGGACUGGUUACCUUCUAGCAGAGGUGAGAGUUGUACAUAGAGAGCGUUGAGAGCUAUCAGUACCUUCAUCUCAAAUGACUGAAUAUAAUUUACAAUUGUUUUAGGUGGCCGAAGCUCAAGAAGAAGUCAAAACAGAACAAGUUCAGAUUCACAAGGUCACGUGAGGCGAGGCAAAACGAAGGACUCAAAGAAUGUGCAAGCGCUGGGCAGCAAAGCAAAAGGGAAAGAUCGACUGACUGGCAGGGCCAGGAGGUCGGUAAAUGCCAAAUAUCACUAUUAAAUUCACUCAUACAAGAAACGUAAUGUCUUUGUUAAAAUGAAAUCUGAAAAAGCAUAUUGUGUUCAUGUGCCCCCGCAAAAUCCACAGACUUGAUUUGGAAGUUGUUGUAGCAUCUGACUAAAUAACCCAAGGAGG